rnacentral:tRNA from 1 species
GGUGGUUUUACUUGGUUUUGACUGAUUUAAUUUUUUUGAUAAUUCACUGAUAAUCAGAAGUAUUGAUACAUAUCAAACCAUAUUAAACCAGCUAAAAGAGGACUGAAAAUCCUUGUGUCGGCGGUUCGAUUCCGUCCAUCACCA